rnacentral:rRNA from 1 species
UACGGGGGGGGCAAGCGUUGUUCGGAAUUACUGGGCGUAAAGAGCUCGUAGGCGGUUCGAUAAGUCGGACGUGAAAUCUCCACGCUCAACGUGGAGGGGCCGUUCGAUACUGUCGUGACUCGAGUCCGGUAGGGGAGUGUGGAAUUCCCGGUGUAGCGGUGAAAUGCGCAGAUAUCGGGAGGAACACCAACGGCGAAGGCAGCACUCUGGGCUGGAACUGACGCUGAGGAGCGAAAGCGUGGGUAGCAAACAGG